UGUCAGCCGAACAGAAGAUGACCUGUUUACAGUGACAAGUCAACUUAAAGUGGAUGUCAUCAGCGAUACAUACACAUAUAACUGCUCCAUAACUACUAAAAAUACAUGCUAUACAGCUAGUCUGAAACAACAAGCUGCUUCAGAACUCUCCGAGAAUGAGUUCACUUUCGAAUGUCCAGUCACUAAGGACUUCAACUACUCUCUCACCUUGAGUUUUUCCACCACCAUCCUGAAAUAUGACAGCAAAACCUCUAUGAAAGAAAUCUCCGAGCAGUGGAGGGACAAGGUUAUCUUUCAUCCAGAAAAUGGAACCAUUAAACUCUCUCAUCUUAAUCAAGAGCAGCUGGGAACAUACACAUGUGAAAGCACUACAGCCCAGAACAGAUACAUUACACAAACCAAACUCCCAUCGAGAGGUGGAGAAAUUGCCUACAUAAUUAUCAGCAUUAUAGCAGCCAUUAUUAUUAUUACCAUUGUUUUUGUUAUAAUUAGAAGAAAUUACCAAUGCAAAAAGACUGUCCAAUUCAAGCUCCCUCCAGGUGUGAAUUCCUGUUGCUGUGAGCCUUGCAACAGUCACAGCAAUCAUAAAAAUAAAAUGUAAAGUGACUGAUGCAAAAAGCAGAGCUGAAGACACCUGUGAUCACCAACAGACCAAAAUGAGAAUACAUGUGGGAAAAGUGUUUAAAACAGUAUAUGCAGUUGUCUGAACCAUCUUCCAAGAGUUCCUUUAAAACAUUUCAGGAUAAAUGGAGGGGCAGGAUUUAUAUUUAUUUUUUGUAUUAUUAGUAGUAUUGGUAUUAUUAUGAAUGUACAUCAUCUUCUCUCUUUAACGACUGAGAUUUCUUUGAGCAAGGCACCUAAUACCCAAUUGCUUCCCGGGCACAGCAGAAAAAAUGGCUGCUCUGGGUGUGUGUUCACAGUGUGAGUGUUCACUACUCACUGCUGUGUGUGUGCACUUGGGUGGGUUAAAUCAGAGCACAAAUUACGAGUAUUACCAUACUUGGCUACAUGUCACAUCACAUUUCAUUAUGAUUAAAUAAAUAUGUGUAAAUACUUAUG